AAUAGAUACCCUGGUAGUCCAUGCCGUAAACGAUGAUUACUAAGUGUUGGAGGGUUUCCGCCCUUCAGUGCUGCAGCUAACGCAUUAAGUAAUCCGCCUGGGGAGUACGACCGCAAGGUUGAAACUCAAAAGAAUUGACGGGGGCCCGCACAAGCGGUGGAGCAUGUGGUUUAAUUCGAAGCUACGCGAAGAACCUUACCAGGUCUUGACAUCUUCUGCCAACCUAAGAGAUUAGGCGUUCCCUUCGGGGACAGAAUGACAGGUGGUGCAUGGUUGUCGUCAGCUCGUGUCGUGAGAUGUUGGGUUAAGUCCCGCAACGAGCGCAACCCUUAUUACUAGUUGCCAGCAUUUAGUUGGGCACUCUAGUGAGACUGCCGGUGACAAACCGGAGGAAGAUGGGGACGACGUCAAAUCAUCAUGCCCCUUAUGACCUGGGCUACACACGUGCUACAAUGGAUGGUACAACGAGUUGCGAAACCGCGAGGUUUAGCUAAUCUCUUAAAACCAUUCUCAGUUCGGACUGUAGG
rnacentral:rRNA from 1 species